rnacentral:sRNA from 1 species
CGUAUCAAAUCAAACAGAGACUUCGGUAAAUCAAACAGUUAACUGUUUACCUGCGCAAAUUAAUCAAAAUCGGAUGUAGGGGUACUGAAAUACAAUUCAUUCUAUCGGUAAUUCGGCAUUAUCUUUUGCGUAAUGGUACAUGUAGAUUAAUGCAAUAGGUUUUGUUGAGAUGCUCGGCAUUUUUUCGAGUUUAUUCAGUUUAAAUAGAGUUUGAUAUCGCUGACGGAAAUAUGUAGGUAUAUAGACAUGUAUAUAUAUAUGAUUCAUUUCGAAAAAAUAAAUUGUGUUCUUU